UUUGUGCUGAAAUCCUACUAUUUUAUAUCCUGAAAAUCCAGAGUUCUUGCGAGAGCACAAUUUUAAUUUGUUCAGCGAGUCACUCUGGCAUUCAGGAAUGAUGCUCAUUAACUAUACCCUUGUAGCCAAGCUGCACCAAUUACAUCGGUGUAUCUGAUGUAGGCGGGUCAGAGGCGAGC